UCUGGGAAACUGCCUGAUGGAGGGGGAUAACUACUGGAAACGGUAGCUAAUACCGCAUAAUGUCGCAAGACCAAAGUGGGGGACCUUCGGGCCUCAUGCCAUCAGAUGUGCCCAGAUGGGAUUAGCUAGUAGGUGGGGUAAAGGCUCACCUAGGCGACGAUCUCUAGCUGGUCUGAGAGGAUGAUCAGCCACACUGGGACUGAGACACGGCCCAG
rnacentral:rRNA from 1 species